UUUCUAAAUUUUCAGCCAUCUCCUUUUUUUUUUCUCUUCUUUCUAGUUUCGAUUUUUCAAAGAGUCAGCGAGAAAAAGUAUCCUUUUAAGGUGGAUAAUGAGACGCCCAAGGAAAUGUUUGUGAAUAAUUUGUCUUCCAUGACUCUUCCAUUUCGACAAUCCCCGAAAAGAAAAAAAGUUUCUAAACUAGCGCCCUGUUUUUUAUUUCUC
rnacentral:ribozyme from 13 species